GCACUUAUAGCUCAGGUGGAUAGAGCGCUCCCCUCCUAAGGGAGAGGCCGCUGGUUCGAAUCCAGCUAAGUGCACCA
rnacentral:tRNA from 3 species